rnacentral:antisense_RNA from 1 species
GUGCGGAUGUGCAAUCUUCACCUGUUUAUUCGGUAGAGGGUGCCAUCUUCAGGUAGCCCUUCACGUUGUACAGAAAACAAUGGAGACUUCUCCUCCUGGGGCAGGUUACCCCUGAAGUAGAUCCUCGCGGGGUGCUUCGGGGCACUACAGGCUCAGGUUCAGAUGAGCUCUCACUUGGGCCCUCACUUUCUUCCACAUCUUCAGCCUCAACCUGGAGAAAAAAGUCUUCAUCCCGUGGAGCACCAUCCACCUCUUCUCCACCUGGACAGGCUGCUGGCUGCCGGAUCUUCUUCGGUUUGGUGGGGCUGCUCACCUUGGGGCCCUCAGGACAGGACACAGGGGCAGGCAGGGCUGUUGAGAGCUCUUCAGCCAGUUCCUGAAGAUACAGAAGUGCCCUGUGGGAACGGACAGAGUCAGAGCCAUUCUCACAUAUGACUGAGAACCCAUGUUUCCAGACAUGGUUGAUUUUUAUCUCAAUGGAGCCUCCCAAUAACCCCAUGAUUAACCAAUUAACUCUAUUAAUUUCCCCUUCCCCCUUGGAAGAUGAAAAACCAGAAAUCUAAGUUAUGUGACUUGGUCGAGAUGACUGAGAUUAACAAAUGUGGAAUCUGAACCCAGGUCUUCUCACUCCAAGUUCAAUACAUUUUUCAUCCUACCACAGUCAAAGAACACAGAGGGCAAGAGAAAGAAUGGAACAGCAUAUAUAUACUGACAUAUACUGGACAGU